UAGGGAAUCUUCCGCAAUGGGCGAAAGCCUGACGGAGCAACGCCGCGUGAGUGAUGAAGGUCUUCGGAUCGUAAAACUCUGUUAUUAGGGAAGAACAAAUGUGUAAGUAACUAUGCACGUCUUGACGGUACCUAAUCAGAAAGCCACGGCUAACUACGUGCCAGCAGCCGCGGUAAUACGUAGGUGGCAAGCGUUAUCCGGAAUUAUUGGGCGUAAAGCGCGCGUAGGCGGUUUUUUAAGUCUGAUGUGAAAGCCCCCGGCUCAACCGGGGAGGGUCAUUGGAAACUGGUUGACUUGAGUGCAGAAGAGGAGAGGGGAAUUCCAUGUGUAGCGGUGAAAAGCGUAGAUAUAUGGAGGAACACCAGUGGCGAAGGCGACUCUCUGGUCUGUAACUGACGCUGAGGCUCGAAAGCGUGGGUAGCAAACAGG
rnacentral:rRNA from 1 species